GACGAACGCUGGCGGCGUGCCUAACACAUGCAAGUCGAGCGGAAAGGGCUUUUGGGGUCCUCAAGCGGCGAACGGGGGAGUGACAUGUGAGUAAACUGGCCCAGUCGUUGGGAUAACCGUGGGAAAAGGGGGCUAAUACCCGAUUCGACACUGCUUCGCAUAGGGGCUGUGUGUAAGGUUUUUCGGUUUGGGAUGGGCGCGCGGCCUAUCAGCUUGCUGGUGGGGUGACGGCCUACCAAGGCGACGACGGGUAGCCGGCCUGGGAGGGCGACCGGCCACACUGGGACUACGGCACGGACCAGACUGGAACGGGGGGCAGCGGUGGAAAGUCUUGCACAAUGGGCGGGAGCCUGGUACAACGGCGCCGCGUGGGGAAUGACGGCCUUCAGGUUGUAAACCUCUUUCAGCAGGGACGAAGCGUAAGUGACGGUACCUGAAGAAGAAGCGCCGGCCAACUACGUG
rnacentral:rRNA from 1 species